rnacentral:rRNA from 1 species
GACGAACGCUGGCGGCGUGCUUAACACAUGCAAGUCGAACGGAGAGGCCCUGCUUUUGUGGGGUGCUCGAGUGGCGAACGGGUGAGUAACACGUGAGUAACCUGCCCUUGACUUUGGGAUAACUUCAGGAAACUGGGGCUAAUACCGGAUAGGAGCUCCUGCUGCAUGGUGGGGGUUGGAAAGUUUCGGCGGUUGGGGAUGGACUCGCGGCUUAUCAGCUUGUUGGUGGGGUAGUGGCUUACCAAGGCUUUGACGGGUAGCCGGCCUGAGAGGGUGACCGGCCACAUUGGGACUGAGAUACGGCCCAGACUCCUACGGGAGGCAGCAGUGGGGAAUAUUGCACAAUGGGCGGAAGCCUGAUGCAGCAACGCCGCGUGCGGGAUGACGGCCUUCGGGUUGUAAACCGCUUUCGCCUGUGACGAAGCGUGAGUGACGGUACCUGCAGAAGAAGCACCGGCUAACUACGUG